CACAGGUCCUUCAACCACAAUCUUUCCUCUCCUCCACAUCUAAGCUCCGCCCCCAACAUGUGAUGGUGACAUCAUCAAAGGUCCUACAUCUCCAGCAGUCCGGGCCAGGGGAGGAGACUGAGGGAGGAUGAGGGACCAGGUUGAGGGAGUGUCCAAGAUUUUGAUCUGAGCAGGAGCUCCUGACAAAGUCUAAGAAAGAGAGAGGCUCUAGUACUCUUGUUUCCACCAUAAUCUAUAUAAGGCUCCUUCUCUUGUUCCGUUCCUCUUAGCAGGGAGGCUGGGCCAGAGCAAGACAGUGCAUUCCCUUUCUAGAUAUGUUCAUGUACAUGUUAACCCUUCUGCUCCAGUCAUAUCUGAUACAAAUGUAAUUCCAAUAUAAAUUUUAAAACAGCAUAAAUUCAUAAAGCACAUGUGAAACAAUGCACUAGUAGUAUGACACCCAACCAAAGGCCAUCUCACAGGGAUCCCAAAGUUAUUGGACCCCCCUCGCCAUUGCAACUAUAUACUUUAGUAGGGCAUAUGAAAAGGCGUUGCCUAAAGAAAACAAAACCUAUAAUUUUGAAUGGUGGAAUAACAACACCAACUACAUAGGUUACAUACUAUAUGGUUACGCCACAUCUGUAAUACAUAAAUGGACAACUUCCUCUUUAUUUUUAUGAAAUGUAACAUUUAAAAUAAUUUCCACCUACCUAUUAUAAUAUAACACAAGCCAUGAAGAUAAAUCAUAAAUGCGGAUAUUGUUGAAAGCUUAAACAUCUCUAGCAUUUGAAGUGAUAGUAUGGUACUCCAGGAGUGAUUCUGUUGUUCCCAUUGAACCAUAUUCAUGAAGGUGUCUUAGGUUUUGUUUUUCUAGGGGGGAUUCCAUUUUUUAAGAAUUAUUAUUAAAUGUAAAUUUUUAAUGCCCAUGCUCCCUCUCUGUGUUUUUUUCUGGUGAUGAAC